rnacentral:lncRNA from 1 species
GAUAUGGCAGCUUUUAUUUUAGCCCUUAGGGACGAAAGCGGCAAUGUACUUGAUUGAAUUUUCUUUUCUUUUGAGAAUGUAGAAAGGCAAAGUAUCGCCUUAGGAAUCUUGCAGAUACUGAUUCAGAAGGUCUGGGUGGUGCCUGAGAUUCAGCCCAAUAUAGUAAGUGAUGCCCAUGCUGCUGGUCUAUGGACUGCAUUUGAAUGGCAAGGAAAUGAUGACAGCAUGCCUCUAUGCUGGAGGCAUGGCUAUCGCUGCUGCUGUUGAAACCAAGCAGCAUCUGCUGAGCUUGUAGUCCCACUGAAUACCACUGAAACUGCCAUAGAGUCUCUUGCAGCCCAGAGUUGACAGCUGCUGCUGCUGCAUGCAUCACCAGAGGCAGAAAAAUAAUAGCUUCUCUCUUCCUCCCAACUUCCCAGCCCUUCACAGAGCCAGCAGAGCCUCCUUUUGCACAAGGUAACCAAAGGAAGGUUGGCAAGAGAAUCUAGAAAAUUUGUAGACUUCUUGCUAUGAUAUUAGGAAGAGCAUGAAAAGGAAGAAAUGGAGCUGAGAGCUAAAAGGUGGGAGAUUAACAGGAGUGGUUGGCAGUGCAAUAUAGUAGUAAGUAUUGAGAAGAUUAAACAAGAACUUAUGGAGCCAGGAUGAUAGGGAUCCAGGAACCACCAAUAUUUGGAAAUUGGAGCAGACAGAUAUCUGUUCUGGAGAGGACGUGGGAUUGACUCACAGUAGCUUUAAGAUUCCCAGCAACAUUUUUAACACUGAAAUUCUGAUGUAACUGAUUCUAAGAAUUCACAUUAAAAUCUACGUCACUUUAUUCCUCAGUGAAAAUCUACAACAGCCUCUUGACACACCUAAGGUGCUCCUGUUUUUUUUGAAAAUAUGCCACAGAGUGUUUGCUGAAGUAUCAGGAAUAAUUAAA